GGCCGGGCGGGCGUGCUAUACAUGCAAGUCGAGCGGACAGAAGGGAGCUUGCUCCCGGAUGUUAGCGGCGGACGGGUGAGUAACACGUGGGUAACCUGCCUGUAAGACUGGGAUAACUCCGGGAAACCGGAGCUAAUACCGGAUAGUUCCUUGAACCGCAUGGUUCAAGGAUGAAAGACGGUUUCGGCUGUCACUUACAGAUGGACCCGCGGCGCAUUAGCUAGUUGGUGAGGUAACGGCUCACCAAGGCGACGAUGCGUAGCCGACCUGAGAGGGUGAUCGGCCACACUGGGACUGAGACACGGCCCAGACUCCUACGGGAGGCAGCAGUAGGGAAUCUUCCGCAAUGGACGAAAGUCUGACGGAGCAACGCCGCGUGAGUGAUGAAGGUUUUCGGAUCGUAAAGCUCUGUUGUUAGGGAAGAACAAGUGCAAGAGUAACUGCUUGCACCUUGACGGUACCUAACCAGAAAGCCACGGCUAACUACGUGCCAGCAGCCGCGGUAAUACGUAGGUGGCAAGCGUUGUCCGGAAUUAUUGGGCGUAAAGGGCUCGCAGGCGGUUUCUUAAGUCUGAUGUGAAAGCCCCCGGCUCAACCGGGGAGGGUCAUUGGAAACUGGGAAACUUGAGUGCAGAAGAGGAGAGUGGAAUUCCACGUGUAGCGGUGAAAUGCGUAGAGAUGUGGAGGAACACCAGUGGCGAAGGCGACUCUCUGGUCUGUAACUGACGCUGAGGAGCGAAAGCGUGGGGAGCGAACAGGAUUAGAUACCCUGGUAGUCCACGCCGUAAACGAUGAGUGCUAAGUGUUAGGGGUUUCCGCCCCUUAGUGCUGCAGCUAACGCAUUAAGCACUCCGCCUGGGGAGUACGGUCGCAAGACUGAAACUCAAAGGAAUUGACGGGGGCCCGCACAAGCGGUGGAGCAUGUGGUUUAAUUCGAAGCAACGCGAAGAACCUUACCAGGUCUUGACAUCCUCUGAACAACCCUAGAGAUAGGCUUUCCCUUCGGGACAGAAGUGACAGUGUGCAUGAUGUCGUCAGCUCGUGUCGUGAGAAUGUUGGGUUAAGUCCCCGCAACGA
rnacentral:rRNA from 1 species